CGUCCGGCGUCCGUCGUCGUCGUUAACUUUUACAAAAAUCUUCUCCUCUGAAACUACUGGGCCAAAUUUAACCAAACUUGGCCACAAUCAUCAUUGGGGUAUCUAGUUUAAAAAAUGUGUGGCGUGACCCGGCCAACCAACCAAGAUGGCCGCCAUGGCUAAAAAUAGAACAUAGGGGUAAAAUGCAGUUUUUGGCUUAUAACUCAAAAACCAAAGCAUUUAGAGCAAAUCUGACUGAGAUACAAUUGUUAAUCAGGUCAACAUCUAUCUGCCCUGAAAUUUUCAGAUGAAUCGGACAACCUGUUGUUGGGUUGCUGCCCCUGAAUUGGUAAUUUUAUGGAAAUUUUGCUGUUUUUGGUUAUUAUCUUGAAUAUUAUUAUAGAUAGAGAUAAACUGUAAACAGCAAUAAUGUUCAGCAAAGUAAGAUUUACAAAUAAGUCAACAUGGCCUAAAUGGUCAGUUGACCCCUUUAGGAAUUAUUGCCCUUUAUAGUCAAUUUUUAACCAUUUUUCGUAAAUCUUAGUAAUCUUUUACAAAAAUCUUCUCCUCUGAAACUACGGG
rnacentral:lncRNA from 1 species